rnacentral:rRNA from 1 species
CAAUAGCGUAUAUUAAAGUUGUUGCAGUUAAAAAGCUCGUAGUUGGAUUUCGGGGCAGCCUGGCUGGUCCGCCGCAAGGCGAGUACUGGUCAGCCGCCCUUCCUCUCGAAAGCCCCGACUGCUCUUUAUUGCAGUGGUCGGGUAGUUCGGGACGUUUACUUUGAAAAAAUUAGAGUGUUCAAGGCAGGCCUACGCCUGAAUACAUUAGCAUGGAAUAAUGGAAGAGGACCUCGGUCCUAUUUUGUUGGUUUCCAGGACCGAAGUAAUGAUUAAGAGGGACAGUUGGGGGCAUUCGUAUUUAAUUGUCAGAGGUGAAAUUCUCGGAUUUAUGAAAGACAAACAACUGCGAAAGCAUUUGCCAAGGAUGUUUUCAUUAA